UACGUAGGGACCGAGCGUUGUCCGGAUUCAUUGGGCGUAAAGAGCUCGUAGGCGGCUGUUCAAGUCGAACGUGAAAACUCGGAGCUCAACUCCGAGCCUGCGUUCGAUACUGGACGGCUAGAGUCUGGUAGGGGGAUCUGGAAUUCCUGGUGUAGCGGUGGAAUGCGCAGAUAUCAGGAGGAACACCGGUGGCGAAGGCGACUUCCUGGCCUGUUCUUGACGCUGAGGCGCGAAAGCUAGGGGAGCAAACGGG
rnacentral:rRNA from 1 species